GGUUUUGAAGGCCCUCUUCCUUUCGAGCUCGAAACCGGGUGAGGAAGAGGAAGUGCAAUUGUUCUACUAUUUCAUCAAAUCUGAGAAGAAUCAAAAAGAAGAUCCUCUUCUUAUAUGGUUAAGUGGAGGAUCAGGAUGCUCUUCUCUCCAUGGCCUUCUGUUUGAGAACGAUUGCGAGGACAAGAAAAAUAUACAAAAUACCUCUCCUGAUUGCUAUGUAAGUAAUAUCUCUUUCCUCCAUCUCUGAAAUGGUUUGUUAUAAUAUAUAUAUAUAUAUAUAUAUAUGUUUUAAAUAAUAACGAUCAGAUAUAGCAUUAGUAAUGAUUUAAUAUGAACCUACUAACAUGAAAAAUUGAAUUUUUUUGUCUUAAUUUUUUUAAAAAUAUCAAGGUAGAUAAAUACUCAAUCUAACAUGAAGAACUUGGACAUUAUAUAUCUACUAAGGUAGAUAGAUAGUGAGUAUCACAAAAUUUUAUCAGAAAUUCGCUUACUUUCCAUCCGAGGGCCAAUGAUGAUAUUUUCGGGACUUUAUACAAAAUAAUAUGGUAACUUAUUUUUCAAUCGUAUAAAAAAAAAUUAGUGAUUUCAGCAAGCUUCUAAGAAUUAUAUAUUUUAAUAUAGCUUCUCCUUGUUACUCUUCUAAUAUUUUUUUUUCUUCUACAUAA